rnacentral:rRNA from 1 species
CAGUCGCCGCGGUAACACGAAGGGGGCUAGCGUUGCUCGGAAUGACUGGGCGUAAAGGGCGCGUAGGCGGCGAUCAAAGUCAGGCGUGAAAUUCCUGGGCUCAACCUGGGGGCUGCGCUUGAUACUUGGUUGCUUGAGUGGGGAAGAGGGUCGUGGAAUUCCCAGUGUAGAGGUGAAAUUCGUAGUUAUUGGGAAGAACACCGGUGGCGAAGGCGGCGACCUGGUCCUUGACUGACGCUGAGGCGCGAAAGCGUGGGGAGCAAACAGGAUUAGAUACCCGCGUAGUCCCUGUCUCUUAUAC